AUCUUUUUGUGGAUGGUAAGCAUGAUGACUGCCUGUUCACAAGCAUGUAUGAAAUGUGCUUGAGUCCUCAAAGUUUGGUCAGCACAUCACCUUCUGAAG